rnacentral:tRNA from 1 species
GGACAGUGUCCUUGUGGUUUAUGGAUGGCCCACUGUCUGCUUUGUAAGCGGAUGAUCAGGGGUUCGAUUCCCAUCUGCACCA